rnacentral:snoRNA from 1 species
CUUGCACACCGUUAGAGCCCGGCGCUGUCUCGUCUGUGCAGUGCUGGGUGUAGGAUGUGUGCUAAAUGAUAACGCUUGGCCUCACUCUGCCUCUCUAAACAACU